AUAAAUAAAAAAACAAGAAAAAAUAAUGUGGAUUAAUUAGUUGACUCGAUGAUAGCGGGAUGCGAAGCGGGCGUAAUCGACAGAACAAUUAGGAUCAUAGAACACACACACACAUAUAUGUAUAUGCCACGUGGAAAAAAACGUUUGAUUGGUGUAACGUUUUUUUACUAAAAUGAACAAGUCCAUCUGGAACGUCAAGCAAAAGGUCCCAGGUAUAUUGGUUAUUCGUAACACAAAAUAGAGUAAUUGGUUUAAUCACCAAAUAUGCUAUUUCCAUCAGUAUUAACAGGUAGAGCGUCUAGCAAGACGAAAUAAGCCAUCGGCUUUACAAUUUGAUUGUAAAAUCGGGAUGAAUAUGCGCAAGUUCUAAUUGCUAUUCACGUCUAAAUAUUCUCUUAUAAUUUACUAAUGGAACUAAUGGUACUUUAAUGGUAGAUGGUACGAAAAAAAUCGAUUUUUGGAGACAAAUGGUAUCAGUUUUGCGAUGUCACACAGGUACAACUCGUGUGUUGGAUCAGGAGUACAACGUACAGUCAAAGUCAAGUAGAUGCGGUCGAUAUUAUCUUCCACAGCAUAAGCAGGAAGAGUCUAGGUCGCAUCCGGACGCCAGGAAAGAUGAUAUUGUUAUCACAGGAUUUUUUUUUCAUUUGUUUAAGAAAGAGAACAAUAUAAUAUAUAUGUAAUUAAAGAUGAGAGAGAGAAAGAGAGAGAAAAAGAGAAAAGAGAAAAACCAAACGUAGACAAAAAAGAAAGAAAAAACUGCCAACGGCCUCGUUCCCAGGCUUUGUUCACAUAUAUACUGUUGCGGUGUUGAGAUGGUGACGAUGAUUAUAGGAUGGUUCAACCAGGACGAGAAGCACAGAAACACACACGCGCACUCGGACAGAGCAUGUCCUUGCAGAAUAGCGAGCGUCGUCCCACAUAUCGAGCCUACAAAAUACAUCCCAUUUUCGUGGCCCAUUCCGACGAUGGCUGAGGAGAACAGUGGAAGUACUACUACUAUUUAUGCAAAGGAUUAUGUUGGCUACUACCGUUGUAUCGUCUCAAGAAGUUAGAAUUGUACAAUUAUACUCAACAACACGCGCAUACAUGAUGGUUCAGUUAGCCUAAUCUUGGAGGCAAGCACGGUUCAUUCAAACAAAGCUGUUCAAAUAUAACACGUCAUCGAAUCACGAACAAUCCCCAGUUCGCUGAAAGUACGAUUAAAGAGAACACAUAGAUUGAACAAAACAAAACAGAGAGAGAGAGAGAGAGAGAAAGAGAGAGAAA